ensembl:piRNA 21ur-10087 ncRNA
UGUGAAUGUUUUUUACGAAAC